rnacentral:rRNA from 1 species
AUUGAACGCUGGCGGGAGGCUUUACACAUGCAAGUCGAACGAGUGGCGGACGGGUGAGUAAUGUAUCGGAACGUGCCCAAUAGCGGGGGAUAACUACUCGAAAGGGUUGCUAAUACCGCAUACUAUUAGAUCUGCCCAUAUCGGAUUAGCUAGUUGGUGGGGUAACGGCUCACCAAGGCGACGAUCCCUAGCUGGUUUGAGAGGACGACCAGCCACACUGGGACUGAGACACGGCCCAGACUCCUACGGGAGGCAGCAGUGGGGAAUAUUGGACAAUGGGCGAAACCCGGAUCCAGCCAUCCCGCGUGUAUGAGAAGGCCUUCGGGUUGUAAAGUACUUUUGGCAGAGAAGCGGUAUCUGCAGAAGAAGCACCGGCUAACUACGUGCCAGCAGCCGCGGUAAUUC